GGUCCGAUCCAUAAACAGUAUGCCGUAUUCAUGCUUUGUUGCUCUGACUGAGUCAGUUGACUUACGAACCAAGAAAGAGGUGAUUGUCUUCCACUCAUUUUCAACGAAUCGGUCUUCGUAAAACGGAGCAAGGCGAUGAUCAAUUCUGAGGACACAAUUCUGAGACCAUAUGAAACCCCUCCAUCUCACGGAUAGCAAGAACAAGCGAAUCGAAAGACUAAAUUUUUUUUUGUGAAUGAUAUAACUGCCGGCACAAGAAAUGGGUUUAGAAUGAGGAUUGUGGAUAAAAUUAAGGAAGGGAGGAGACUUAAAUAGAGGAAAUCUGGAACGGCUACAGUUAUUAAUGCGGUUCCAACUACACUUGAUUCAAACUUUUGGUAAUAGCCUGGUAACCGUCAUAUAGGGUAAUUAUAACGUUGAUUUGACAAUAAACAGCAACAGUUACGUCCUUUCCAUUAAAUACCAACACAACCACAAUAUACCCAACAAUGUCUCCAACUCCGUUCAUUUAAGAGGGGGAAUAAGUUAGAUUUUCAAAAAACUUAUUUCAAAU
rnacentral:sRNA from 1 species